rnacentral:rRNA from 1 species
AUGAACGCUGGCGGCGUGCCUAAUACAUGCAAGUCGAGCGAACGGACGAGAAGCUUGCUUCUCUGAUGUUAGCGGCGGACGGGUGAGUAACACGUGGAUAACCUACCUAUAAGACUGGGAUAACUUCGGGAAACCGGAGCUAAUACCGGAUAAUAUUUUGAACCGCAUGGUUCAAAAGUGAAAGACGGUCUUGCUGUCACUUAUAGAUGGAUCCGCGCUGCAUUAGCUAGUUGGUAAGGUAACGGCUUACCAAGGCAACGAUGCAUAGCCGACCUGAGAGGGUGAUCGGCCACACUGGGACUGAGACACGGUCCAGACUCCUACGGGAGGCAGCAGUAGGGAAUCUUCCGCAAUGGGCGAAAGCCUGACGGAGCAACGCCGCGUGAGUGAUGAAGGUCUUCGGAUCGUAAAACUCUGUUAUUAGGGAAGAACAUAUGUGUAAGUAACUGUGCACAUCUUGACGGUACCUAAUCAGAAAGCCACGGCUAACUACGUG